rnacentral:rRNA from 1 species
UACGUAGGGUGCGAGCGUUGUCCGGAAUUAUUGGGCGUAAAGAGCUCGUAGGCGGUCUGUCGCGUCGAUCGUGAAAACUUGGGGCUUAACCCUGAGCUUGCGGUCGAUACGGGCAUGACUGGAGUUCGGCAGGGGAGACUGGAAUUCCUGGUGUAGCGGUGAAAUGCGCAGAUAUCAGGAGGAACACCGGUGGCGAAGGCGGGUCUCUGGGCCAUUACUGACGCUGAGACGCGAAAGCGUGGGCAGCAAACAGG